GCUUCGGUAGUAUAACGGUUAGUACAUGGGUCUCAUAGUUCAGUCUAUGAGCCGGUCAAGCCGGCGAAAUCCCGAAAUGGUGGUUCGAUUCCGCCCCGAAGCA
rfam:Wallemia ichthyophaga EXF-994 unplaced genomic scaffold scaffold1, whole genome shotgun sequence.